GUUCGGUUAGUCUAGUGGUCAAGACGUUCGUUUGUGGUCUACGCAAAACACGAAAGAUCGACAGUUCAAUCCUGUCACCGGACA